rnacentral:rRNA from 1 species
UUUCGGCCAAAUGAUAGGAAUGCUUAGUGGCGGACUGGUGAGUAACGCGUGAGGAACCUGCCUUUCAGAGGGGGACAACAGUUGGAAACGACUGCUAAUACCGCAUGAUACGUAUUGGGGGCAUCCCUGAGACGUCAAAGAUUUAUCGCUGAAAGAUGGCCUCGCGUCUGAUUAGCUGGUUGGUGAGGUAACGGCCCACCAAGGCGACGAUCAGUAGCCGGACUGAGAGGUUGACCGGCCACAUUGGGACUGAGAUACGGCCCAGACUCC